GAUGAACGCUGGCGGUGUGCCUAAUACAUGCAAGUCGAGCGAACAGACGAGGAGCUUGCUCCUCUGACGUUAGCGGCGGACGGGUGAGUAACACGUGGAUAACUUACCUAUAAGACUGGGAUAACUUCGGGAAACCGGAGCUAAUACCGGAUAAUAUAUUGAACCGCAUGGUUCAAUAGUGAAAGACGGUUUUGCUGUCACUUAUAGAUGGAUCCGCGCCGCAUUAGCUAGUUGGUAAGGUAACGGCUUACCAAGGCAACGAUGCGUAGCCGACCUGAGAGGGUGAUCGGCCACACUGGAACUGAGACACGGUCCAGACUCCUACGGGAGGCAGCAGUAGGGAAUCUUCCGCAAUGGGCGAAAGCCUGACGGAGCAACGCCGCGUGAGUGAUGAAGGUCUUCGGAUCGUAAAACUCUGUUAUUAGGGAAGAACAAAUGUGUAAGUAACUAUGCACGUCUUGACGGUACCUAAUCAGAAAGCCACGGCUAACUACGUG
rnacentral:rRNA from 1 species